rnacentral:rRNA from 1 species
UACGUAGGGUGCAAGCGUUGUCCGGAAUUAUUGGGCGUAAAGAGCUCGUAGGCGGUUUUGUCGCGUCUGCUGUGAAAACCCGAGGCUCAACCUCGGGCCUGCAGUGGGUACGGGCAGACUAGAGUGCGGUAGGGGAGAUUGGAAUUCCUGGUGUAGCGGUGAAAUGCGCAGAUAUCAGGAGGAACACCGGUGGCGAAGGCGGGUCUCUGGGCCGAUACUGACGCUGAGGAGCGAAAGCGUGGGGGAGCGAACAGG